rnacentral:rRNA from 1 species
AUUCGGGCUGUCCGCCAGUGUAAAUAACUGGUGAAGAAAGGGCCGGGCAAGACCGGUGCCAGCCGCCGCGGUAAUACCGGCGGCUCGAGUGGUGGCCACUAUUACUGGGCUUAAAGCGUCCGUAGCUGGAUUGUUAAGUCUCUUGGGAAAUCCACCGGCUCAACCGAUGGGCGUUCAGGAGAAACUGGCAAUCUAGGGACCGGGAGAGGUGAGAGGUACUCCAGGGGUAGGAGUGAAAUCCUGUAAUCCUUGGGGGACCACCUGUGGCGAAGGCGUCUCACUAGAACGGCUCCGACAGUGAGGGACGAAAGCUGGGGGAGCAAACCGGAUUAGAUACCCGGGUAGUCCCAGCUGUAAACGAUGCGCGUUAGGUGUAUCGGUGACCACGAGUCACUGAGGUGCCGAAGAGAAAUCGUGAAACGCGCCG